GAUGAACGCUAGCGACAGGCUUAACACAUGCAAGUCGAGGGGCAGCUACGGGUAGCAAUACCGGGUGGCGACCGGCGCACGGGUGAGUAACGCGUAUGCAACUUACCUAUCAGAGGGGGAUAACCCGGCGAAAGUCGGACUAAUACCGCAUGAAGCAGGGGCCCCGCAUGGGGAUAUUUGCUAAAGAUUCAUCGCUGAUAGAUAGGCAUGCGUUCCAUUAGGCAGUUGGCGGGGUAACGGCCCACCAAACCGACGAUGGGAUA
rnacentral:rRNA from 1 species